UUGAAACUGAAAAAAAAAAUUGAUAGUGAAAAACAAUUAAUUGAAACUGUAAAUUUUUUGUUUUCGCUUACAUUUUUUUUUUCAGUUUCAAUCCAUUUUUCAGUUUCAAUCUGCUGGCACUGUUUUGGCGUCCGGGGGCGCGCUGGGGGGACGGGGAUUCCGACCUGCAUGUAUUUGCAUACAUUAUAGAGCCGACUAGUGCUGACCAAGCUGCCAUCUUUCUCUCUUCCCGUCUUUCAAUGGCUGCUUCAAUUUCAGCUUGACCCUCUAAACCGCAGGUUAGCACCUCAUACUGCAGUGCACCAAAAGCAGCCUCAUGAGCGCUGGGAAGGACAAGCCCAGAGCCCAGUGACAGUGCAGGAGAUGACAAGCUGUCCUGUGCCAGAUGUUCUGUUGACCCACUGUGAGAGGCAUCAUUUCAGAAACACCAGGAAGACCGAAACUCAUCGCAGGGAUCAAGCAGGGCUCGUGAUCUUCACCAGCAGCUCCCUCACAAGAGGGAUAAACCCAGCAUUUUAUGAACAUUGUGAUGAAGACCUUUGCUUUGUGUAAUGUAAA
ensembl:lncRNA